AUUGAACGCUGGCGGCAUGCCUAACACAUGCAAGUCGAACGGCAGCACAGCAGUAGCAAUACUGUGGGUGGCGAGUGGCGGACGGGUGAGGAAUACGUCGGAAUCUGCCCAGUCGUGGGGGAUAACUAGCCGAAAGGUUAGCUAAUACCGCAUACGACCGAGAGGUGAAAGCGGGGGACCGCAAGGCCUCGCGCGAUUGGAUGAGCCGACGUCGGAUUAGCUAGUUGGCGGGUAAAGGCCCACCAAGGCGACGAUCCGUAGCUGGUCUGAGAGGAUGAUCAGCCACACUGGAACUGAGACACGGUCCAGACUCCUACGGGAGGCAGCAGUGGGGAAUAUUGGACAAUGGGCGCAAGCCUGAUCCAGCAAUGCCGCGUGUGUGAAGAAGGCCUCGGUUGU
rnacentral:rRNA from 1 species